rfam:Triticum aestivum genome assembly, contig: Triticum_aestivum_CS42_TGACv1_scaffold_019647_1AS
GCCAUCCAGGAUGACGAGCUGAUCUCCUACAUCAUCCAUGGGCUGGACAUGGACUACCAGCCUCUUGUCUCGGCCCUCGACGCCCGCGUCACGCCCGUCUCCCUCGACGAACUCUUUGCCAUGCUCAGCAACUUCGAUC